rnacentral:rRNA from 1 species
UGGGGAAUAUUGCACAAUGGGGGAAACCCUGAUGCAGCGACGCCGCGUGAGUGAAGAAGUAUUUCGGUAUGUAAAGCUCUAUCAGCAGGGAAGAAACUGACGGUACCUGACUAAGAAGCACCGGCUAAAUACGUGCCAGCAGCCGCGGUAAUACGUAUGGUGCAAGCGUUAUCCGGAUUUACUGGGUGUAAAGGGAGCGUAGACGGAUGUGCAAGUCUGGAGUGAAAGCCCGGGGCUCAACCCCGGGACUGCUUUGGAAACUGUAUAUCUAGAGUGCUGGAGAGGUAAGUGGAAUUCCUAGUGUAGCGGUGAAAUGCGUAGAUAUUAGGAGGAACACCAGUGGCGAAGGCGGCUUACUGGACAGUAACUGACGUUGAGGCUCGAAAGCGUGGGGAGCAAACA